GUGGUGAGGCACUGGAAUGGGUUGCCCAGGGAAGUUGUGAAUGCUCCAUCCCAGUGUGCAAGGCCAGGUUGGGCAGAGCCUUGGGUGACAUGGUUUAGUGUGAGGUGUCCCUGCCCAUGGCAGGGGUGUUGGAACUAGAUGAUCUUAAGGUCCUUUCCAACCCUAACUAUUCUAUGAUUCUAUAAUGCUCAA